rnacentral:piRNA from 1 species
UCUCAUGUCAACAGUUUAAUCACUGAGAGAGG